ACAUCUGUGUGAUGGGCAGGGACCUGGUCCACUCCCCUCCUAUGCAGCAAAACAUCAAUUUAUUUGUCCUCAAUCAAACUAAAUCUGGCAUUGAGCACCUACUCAGAAGACUGUCAAGAAUUCAAUAUGUUAUAUUUGGAGGAGCCUCGCCUCCCUAGAUUGACACAAAAUCCAGGGGAUUCAGCUACUACCUGGAAAAGAUGGAAGCGGCCUGGUCCUUAUUCUCUGGUGGUAGCUAUCCCUCCAUCCUGAUUCUUCUCCCUGGCCAACGCUUCCUGUGUCUGUUGGGCGUGGAUGCUCCAGCCAGCUCAGAGAUGCUCCCCACAGAGGUCCUCCCCCCGCUGACCCCAGGCUCAGCUUCAAGAUCCUCACCUCUGCUUCAAGGCCUCGGAUAUUAGUGCCCAUCUCCUUCCACAGAUGCCUCACAGAUUUCCAAGCCAAAGCCUGGCUGAGGAGUUGCCUUGUGGACCUUGAGAACUUCUGUUUUCAGCCCAGAAGCUCCAAAGUUUCUUGGCGCUUCUCAUACCCGGAGAGCCUGUUGAUCCUUGUUACAUGCUGACAGCACAUAGAACCAGUUGUGGAACAUUCACCAGCCCACCUCUGCUCAUAGGGAUGUACAGAUACAAUAAGUUUCUGUGGGUCCAGGAGUCUGGAGAUGGCUUAAAUGGUCCUCUGCCCAGCGUUGCACAAGACUGCAAUCAAAAUGCCAGCUGUGCUGAAUUCUCAUUUGGAGAAUUAGCUGGAGAAUAAUCUUCUUGCAAGCUCAUCCAGUCCCCCCACCGACCCCCACCGAAUCCGAGGUUGGUUGAAUUCACGGAUGUGGAACCUGAGGAAAAGGACAGCCGACCACGUAGUUCUCUUCACAGCAAACGCACCUCUACUGCAGGAACAUCAGUCAGGUUUCUGGUCGAGUGCCUGACGCUUGGAGUACACAUUCGAAGCUCUUCUAGGCACGUACAGACUUCAGGAGCCACACACUUCACAGUUUCUGGGGUGUGUAUGAUCCACUGCUUGGAAGGUGAAUCAGAUCCUGAUGAAAGCGAGGGAUUCUCUGCUGAAAGCCUGGCUGUUGUUCCAAGACAGAGGCUGCAAAUUGGUGGGCUGUGGGCCAGUCUCUGUCUGCAGAUGGCUUGUUGUGGUAGUGUCUUGUCUUCCUGUUCAGUGUUUCUUAAAAAUGUGAAUUAAACCGGUCAGACUUUAAAAAAAAACAUCAAAUUUCAUAUAAAAAGCUGAUUUCUUUUUUUUUUCUUGUUUUUUUUUUUCCCUCACUUGGGAAACUGAAAGUUCCACAGUGGACUUGGACUUGACAAAAUGACAGCUUCAGAGGAGGGAUGUGCUUGUUGCUCCGCCCAGUCUCCACCUGGCUCUCUUUGCUUUUUAUUUUCCGGCCUGACCUUGGAAACAUGUGAUUCAUGACAGUUAUGGUUUCACUCUGAUGCUUUUACAAAAAUGCUUCCUCUUCAAGAAGAUUUCCAGAAAGGACUUUUUGACAAAUACAGGUUUCUGACUUUCAGACCAUAACACUGAACUGGAAAGGGCCCCUGCACUGGACUGGUCUAUAGAGAGGGCUGCUGAUGUCAAAAUCACCUUAAAACAACGCUCAAACAGAGGAGAAACUACACUCAUACCAGGAUGAGAGGAAGACAACAUUGGAAGUAGACAGCUGGCCUAAGAUGCUGCACCUGACCCGCUGCAAGACUCUUCACUUGAGGCUUUCAACCAUAUUCUCCUCUUGUCAAACAACUAAACUACACCUAUGCUUGAUGGAAACUAAACAGCUGGUGCUCAGGAUACUACAAUUACAAAGAGAGGGAAAGAGUCAACCCAAGGAAGCUGUUACUUGUGACUGCCUGUGAUGGGACCUGAUCUCCCUGUUUUACUUAUUUGACUUCAGGUGCAGGGAGCUGCCAAAGCCCCCGCAGUGGAACUGGGAGCUUCAGGAUCAGUUUGGGUCUGCCGUGGAUGCCAUAUGGACCAUGCUUGUUGGACACGUGGGACUUCAUGUCGGUGCUCCCAAGCCUUGGUGCCUCGUGGAUUUAUGCACGUGACAGAGAAAAUAAAUUAAAACACCAUGAGACGGAACCUAAGAAGAAUGGCCUGCAGGUAUUGAGGCGGGGCAGUGGGCUCAUCUGCCUGUGGCCGAGGCGCCGGGUUUGAGGAUGCCCGGCAGCUUGUCGGACCCUGGCACCUUCCAGGGCCCUGGCGCAACAGCAGCCUUGCGCACAGGGGUUCCCCCCGGGGACCGCGUGCCCUGCCUGGGCCCCGCACGUGUGCCUGCCCUGCCCUCGGCCUCCCGCACACCCCCGCUGCGGCCUGGGCCCACGAACGCAGGUGCCACUCCAGGGCCUUCGCGCCGGCCGAGCUCGGGGCCCACUGCUGCAUGCAGCCCCUCCUUGCUGCUGGCCCGCGCUGCGUCCACUGCUGUGGGCCCAGGUGCCCUGGCCUCUGAGGAGGGCCUGCUGGCCUCAGGCUGCCCCUGGCCACCAGGCACCUCCGCGAGCCUCGGCUGCACGGCCCGCUGCGGGCUUGCCGAAAGCUCACUCUGCUCCCCGAGGCGCUGCUUCUUCUGGCUGCCGGCUGAAAGCUCCUUUGGUUUCCUAACGUCGUGUUCCCUUUUGAUAUCCCAAGUUGGGUCUGGGCUUAUCUGGUUGUUAGGGUCGGAUGGUGGGGCUGGAUGUGAUGGAGAGAAUGGAGAGAGGACGUCCUCGAGGGAGGCGCCUACUUCCGGCAGACCUGGGGAGGCAGCAGCGGGAGAACUCCAGGAGCUGGAAUCGUCUGUGGGGCAGGAAGCACAGGCGUUAGAGCCGUGCAGCACAUGCUUUUCACACUCCUGCAACCUCCCUCCACAUUGGGAAUGAGAGAAGGCGGCCAGGGGCCACUCCUCUCAAGGUCCCAGGCCACUGCCACCCCCGCCCUCACUGCCAGGAGGGCAGCUGACCUUAUCCCUGGGGAUUCUGUGUUCCCCAUCCUCUUUACACCACCCCUUCCCUCUUUGAGUGUUCAGGAAGGUGGUUACAAAGCUCAGGCCUAACCCAUCCCUUUGCCUUGGCCCCUUCUAACUUCCUGCAGUGUCAUCAGGUCUGCCAGCCCUGUGUGGACAUCUGACUUGGGAGCACCUGAAUCAGUGGUUCUCAAACUCAAGGAUACAUGUGAAUCACCUGGGGCAGUUUUGAAAAAUACAGAGUCCUCAGCCAAGGAACUUCUCUGCAUUUUUAACAGGCACCCAGGUAAUUCGGAAAAUGCUUGGGGGAGUAACUUUCUCAACCAGUAGGUGUCACUCAAGACAUAAUUCUUAGCUACCACCAGAUACAGAAUUUGGAUGAAUUCAUCUAUAAAAAGGUUCAUUAUUCCAUUCAGGGACAGAGGUGGUCAGCCAGAACAGGCUGGUGUGGAAGGAUUGGAACCCUUUUGUGAGGUUUUGCCUGCAGGUGUUAGAAAGUUUUGCAGAAACUUUGACUUCCUGGAUGGACACCCUUUAGGAGCUCUUUCCCACAUACAUAUCUCUCCAACUUUCCUUUGAGGUUAUAUUGUCAAACUUGUGUUCCAAGAUUCAAACAGGUAAUAUGACGCUGCCUAUAAGAUGUUCAAACUUUAUGGUUAAAACACAAAUUAUUUUAUUCUGCAAGAACCUGAUGUUGGUUGGAGACAAGAUGGCAGAGUAAAAGGACCUUGAGCUCACCUCCUCUCACAAGCAUGCCAAAAUCACAACUAACUGCUAAACAAACAACCAUUGAUAAAAAAGACUGGAAUCUACCAAAAAAACGAUAUUCUGCAUCCAAAGACAUAAGAAGAAACCAAGAGAUGGUAGGAGGGGUGCACUCGUGAUAUAAUCAAAUCCCACAUGACCCAGGUGGGUGACCCACAAACUGGAGAAUGAUUAUAUCACAAAAGUUCUCCCACCAGAGAGAGAGCUCUGAGCCCCAUGCCAGGCUCCCCAGCCUAGAGGCCUGGCAUGGGGAGGUGGAGCCCCCAGAGUAUUUGUCUUUGAAGGCCAGCAGGGCUUGAGUGCAGGAGCCCCACAGUCCUGGGGGAAACGGAGACUCCACUCUUGGAGUGCGCACACAAGGUCUUGUAUGCAACGGGACCCAGGCCAAAAGGAGUAACUCCAUAGGAGCUUGGGCCAGACCUACCUGCUGGUCUUGGAGAGCCUCCUGCAAAGGUGGGGGGCAGCUGUGGCUCUUUCUGGGGUCAUAAAAGCUGGUGAUGGACACGGCAGGGACCUAUGUGAACUCUGGCUGGAGGCAGAGAUUCUGGGCUCUUGGCACCAAGACCUGGUCCCCCAAACAGCCUGUAGGCUCCGGCACUGGGAUGCCUCAGGGCAAACAACCAACAGGGUGGGAACACAGCCCCACCCAGCAGACAGAUAACAGUCACCCAAGUCCAGGAAGCACAGAGAGUCCCAUACAGGACUAACCCAAGGAGGAACAUGCUGAGACACAAAGCAAAGAGAAAAUAUUAAAAGCAACAAGGGAAAAGCAAAAAAUUACAUACAAGGGAACCCCCAUAAGAUUAUCAGUGUUUCUUCAGCAGAAACUCUACAGGCCAGAAGGGAGUGGCAGGGCAUAUUUAAAGUGAUGAAAGGGAAAAAUCUACAACCAAGAUUACUCUACCCAGCAAGGAUCUCAUUCAGAUUUGAUGGAGAAAUUAAAAGCUUUACAGACAAGAAGACACUAAAAGAAUUCACCACCAAACCAGCUUUACAACAGAUGCUAAAGAAAAUUCUCUAAGUGGAAAAGACAAGGCCACAACUAGAAAAAAAAAAAAGUACGAAAUGGGAAAGCUCACUGAUAAAGGCAGGAAAUCAUCCACACACAAAUGUGAUAUCAACAUCAGUAAUUGUGAGAGGAGGAGAGCACGAAUGCAGCAUACUUGAAAUGCACUUGAAAUUAAGAGAUCAGCAACUUAAACAAUCGUGUAUACAUACAGACUGCUAUAUCAAAACCUUACGGUAACCACAAACGAGUCUAUAAUAGAUAUACACACACACAAAAGGAAUCCAAAGACAACGCUAAAGAUAGUCAUCAAAUCACGAGAGCAAAAAAGGAAGAAAAAAAGACCUACAAAAACAAAUCCAAACAAUUAAUAAAAUGGCAAUUAGAACGUACAUAUUGAUAAUUACCUUAAAUGUAAAUGGAUUAAAUGCUCCCACCAAAAGACAUAGACUGGAUGAAUGGAUACAAAAACAAGACAUGUAUAUAUGCUGUCUACAAGAGACCCACUUCAGACCUAGGGACACAUAUAGACUGAAAGUGAGGGGAUGGAAAAAGAUAUUCCAUGCAAAUGGAAAUCAAAAGAAAGCUGGAGUAGCAAUACUCAUAUCAGACAAAAAAGACUGUUACAAGAGACAAGGAAGGAAACUACAUAGUGAUCAAGGGAUCAAUACAAGAAGAUAGAACAAUUGUAAAUAUAUAUGCGCCCAACAGAGGAUCACCUCAAUAUAUAUGGCAAAUGUUAAGAGACAUAGGAGAAAUCGACAGUAACACAGUAAUAGUGGGGGAUUUUAAAAUCCCACUUAAAUCAAUAGAUCAUCCAGGCAAAAUCAAUAAAGAAAUGCAGGCCUUAAAUGACACAUUAGACCAGAUCAACUAAAUUGAUACUUAAAGAACAUUCCAUGCUAAAGGAGCAGAACAUAACAUUCUUCUCAAGUGCACAUGCAACAUUCUCCAGAGUAGAUCACAUGCUGGGCCACAAAGGAAGUCUUGAUAAGUUUAAGAAAAUUGAAAUCAAAUGAAGCAUCUUUUCCAACCACAACACUAUGAGUUUAGAAAUUAACUUGAAGGAAAAAAAAUGCACAAACACAUGGAGGAUAAACAAUCUGCUACUAAAUAACCAAUGGAUCACUGAAGAAAUCAAAGAGGCAAUCAAAAAAUACCUAGACAAAUGAAAAUGAUCCAAAACCUAUGGGACACAGCAAAAGCAGUUCUAGGAGGGAGGUUUGCAGCAAUACAGUCUUACCUCAAGAAACAAGAAAAAUCUCAAACAAUCUAACCUUACACCUAAAGGAACUAGAGAAAGAAGAACAAACAAAACCCAAAGUUAGCAGAAGGAAAGAAAUCAUAAAGAUCAGAGCAGAAAUAAAUGAAAAAGAAAUGAAGGAAACAAUAACAAAGAUCAAUAAAAUUCAAAGCUGGUUCUUUGAAAAGAUAAACAAAAUUGAUAAACUUUUAGCCAGAUUGAUCAAGAAAAAAAUGGGAGAAGACUCAAAUCAAAAGUAUUAGAAAUGAAAAAGGAGAAGUAACAACCGACACUGCAGAAAUACAAAGGCAUCCUCAGAGACUACUACAAGCAACUCUAUGCCAAUAAAAUGGACAACCUGGAAGAAAUGGACAAAUUCUUAGAAAGGUACACUCUCCCAAGACUGAACCAGGAAGAAAUAGAAAAUAUGAACAAACCAAUUACAAGUACUGAAAUUGAAUCUGUGACUAAAGAACUCCCAACAAACAAAAGUCCAGGACCAGAUGGCUACACAGGCGAAUCCUACCAAACAUUUGGAGAAGAGGUAACUUACACCUAUCCUUCUGAAACUAUUUCAAAGAAUUGCAGAGGAAGGAACACUUCCAAACCCAUUCUAUGAGGCAACCAUCACCCUAAUACCAAAAUCAGACAAAGAUUCCACCAGAAAAAGAAAAUCAUAGGCCAAUAUCACUGAGGAGCAUAGACGUAAAUAUCCUCAACAAAAUCCACGAACUGAAUUCAACAACACAUUAAAAGGAUCAUACACCACGAUCAAGUGGGAUUUAUCCCAGGGAUACAAGGAUUUUUCAAUACCCACGAAUCAAUCAGUGUGAUACACCACAUUAACAAAUUGAAGAAAAAAAACCAGAUGAUCAUCUCAACCGAUGCAGAAAAAGCUUUUGAUAAAAUGCAACAUCCAUUUAUGAUUAAAAAACUCUCCGGGCUUCACAGGUGGCGCAGUGGUUGAGAGUCCGCCUGCUGAUGCAGGGGACACGGGUUCGUGCCCCGGUCCGGGAAGAUCCCACAUACUGCAGAGUGGCUGGGCCCGUGAGCCAUGGCUGCUGAGCCUGUGCGUCCGGAGCCUGUGCUCCACAACGGGAGAAGCUACAACAGUGAGAGGCCUGCGUACCACAAAAAAACAAAAAAAAAACCUCUCCAGAAACUGGGCAUAGAGGGAACCUACCUCAACAUAAUAAAGGCCAUUUAUGACAGGCACACAGUAAAUAUCAUUCUCAAUGGUGAAAAACUGAAAGCAUUUCCUGUAAGAUCAGGAACAAGACAAGGAUGUCCACUCUCACCACUUUUAUUCAACAUAGUUUUACAAGUCCUAGCCACAGCUAUCAGAGAAGAAAAAGAAAUAAAGGGGAUCCAAAUUGGAAAAAGAGGAGUAAAACUGUCACUGUUUGCAGAUGACAUGAUACUAUAAUACCUAGAAAAUCCUAAAGAUGCUACCAGAAAACUACUAGAGCUCAUCAAUGUAUUUGGUAAAGUUGCAAGAUACAAAAUAAUACACAGAAAUCUGUUGCAUUUCUAUGCAUUAACAAUGAAAGAUAAGAAAGAGAAACUAAGGAAACAAUCCCACUUACCAUUUCAUCAAAAAGAAUAAAAUACCUAGGAAUAGACCUAGGUAUUUUAUAUAAUACCUAGGAAUAAAAUACCUAGGAAUAUCUAAAUAGACAUUUCUCCAAAGAAGACAUACAGAUGGCCAAUAGGCACAUGAAAAGAUGCUCAACAUCACUAUUAGAGAAAUGCAGAUCAAAACUACAAUGCAGGGAUCACCUCACGCUGGUCAGAAUGGCCAUCAUCUAAAAGUCUACAAGCAAUAAAUGCUGGAGAGGGUGUGGAGAAAAGGGAAUCCUCCUACACCGUUGGUGGGAAUGUAAAUUGGUACAGCCACUAUGGAGAAGAGUAUGGAGGUUCCACUGAAAAAAACUAAAAAUAGAGUUACCAUAUCAUCCGGCAGUCCCACUCAUAGGCGAAUAUCCAGAGAAAACCAUAAUUCCAAAAGAUACAUGCACCCCAAUGGUCAUUGCAGCACUCUAUUUACAAUAGCCAAGGCAUGGAAACAACGUAAGCGUCCAUCAUCAGAUGAAAGGAUGAAGAAGAUGUGGUGUAUAUGGAAUAUUACUCAGCCAUUAAACAAAGAAAUGUUAUCUGCAGCAAAUGGAUGGACCUAGAGAUUAUUAUACUAAGUCAGACAGAAAAAGAUAAAUAUGUCGAUUCUAUGUGGAAUCUAAAAAAAACAAUAAAAAAUAUACAAA